rnacentral:sRNA from 1 species
ACGCAGAAGGGAGGUGGUCCAGACAAUGGUUGAUCAUUCUUGGGCUAGCGAGGUGGCUGUCCGCUAGGACUCGUCCAUCUGGACCUUCCGUCUGGAUGUCGGACGACAUCCUGGCGAAUCCUCGACAGACACCGGAACCCCGGGCAGCCGGCGGCCGCGGACGACUUCCGUCCCGGCCAUGGUCCAGCCGGCCCGCCUCGUUAUGAGGCGGAGCGCGCCCGGGGUUCUUUCUUU